rnacentral:ribozyme from 13 species
AAGCAAAAGAAAAAGAAGUACUCUUCUUCUCUCUUCUCUUUUCUCCCUUUUCUCCUUUUUCUCCUUCUUCCCCUCCAUCUGUUUUUUCCUUAAUGGUCUUCAAAAAAGAGAGGGAU